CCAGUGCUGAGGCUGUGCAGAUAAUGGGUGGGCAGCAUGCGCUGCGGAAUAAGCAGCAAGCAGCCGUCUUUACUUGGUGUCCUGCCAGCUUGACAUUCUUUUCUGCGCCGGGAGGAAGAAAUAACAGUUCUCUGCACUUCCUCCCGGCACAUAGAGAUAGAAAGACAGGAGAAGGAAGGAACCAGCUGGCAAAUCCUAGGUGCCAGGACAAAAUUCUUAAUCGC